rnacentral:tRNA from 1 species
CACCUCCUUUCUAAGGAAGAACCUCAAUGGAAACGCUUGGCUAGUCCGAGCCUCUGCCUUCUGGUUCUCUUGGAACAAGGCGCAGAAGAGUCACUUCUGACGCCGCGCAUACCAAAGCGGGAUCUGCCGCCUUCGUUUCUCUUUCUUCGCGAAUGACCAACCCACGCCCAUUUGGCCCGUGCCCUAACGGCGCGUCCGGUUCCGGAUGCCGCUAGCUGGGUGUGGUUUCAGGGCUUGUAGCUCAGUUGGUUAGAGCGCGCGCUUGAUAAGCGUGAGGUCGGAGGUUCAAGUCCUCCCAGGCCCACCAUCCUUUCAACAGGUAUCAGGGGCCGUAGCUCAGCUGGGAGAGCACCUGCUUUGCAAGCAGGGGGUCGUCGGUUCGAUCCCGUCCGGCUCCACCAUAUCUGGUGUCGAGAGGAUUGCCGGUCAUUCGCAUGGAAAAGGUUUGCAGCGGGCUUCGGUCCACUGCCUGUUCUGUAUGACAUCGUAAAGAGAAGAUUUGUUCAGACUCCACCAUCCGGUGGUUUGUCGCGGUGAGACGCUCAAUCUCCCGCAUAUGAUGGGUUUGCCUAACCGCGCCCCUGGACAGAUCUCGAGAAGCUGGUCUUUUUGUGCCAAUACCGUCCGGAGCGAUCCGGGUGGGCAUUGGCAAUGAGAACGAUCAAGUGUCUUAAGGGCAAUUGGUGGAUGCCUUGGCAUGCACAGGCGAUGAAGGACGUGAUACGCUGCGAUAAGCUA